AUGAAUCAUGAGUUUAAUAGAUCCUAUUUAGCAGAAAGACGUAUAUUCCUUGCUCAUUAUCAGACAAUCAAUUAUCCCCAAACCUUGUGUGGGAUUAAUCAUUUUCAUUUACCAUCUCAUGGAAAACCCUUUUCGUUCCGCUUAGCCCUAUCGGGUAUUUAA
rnacentral:rRNA from 1 species